UACGUAGGGUCCGAGCGUUGUCCGGAAUUAUUGGGCGUAAAGAGCUCGUAGGCGGUCUGUCGCGUCGGAUGUGAAAACCCAGGGCUCAACCCUGGGCCUGCAUUCGAUACGGGCAGACUAGAGUUCGGUAGGGGAGACUGGAAUUCCUGGUGUAGCGGUGAAAUGCGUAGAUAUCGGGAGGAACACCAGUGGCGAAGGCGGCUUUCUGGCCUGUUCUUGACGCUGAGGCGCGAAAGCUAGGGGAGCAAACGGG
rnacentral:rRNA from 1 species